AUUGCGCGCAAUAGAAGGUCACAGCUACUUCAGGAAAAUCACGUGACUGCAACGGGACACGUUGUCUCAACUGUUCACACGGGGACAAUAGAGGGACAACAGUAGAGAGACAACGUUUGCGCGCAAUAAAAAGCCUCGUGUGAACCCACCUUAACUCUAUGGUAAAGGAUACCGACAUGCUCUGAUUGGUCGAUUUCUUUCGCAUAGACUUUUCUAAGCUAUAUCUGCUGCAACCCUGUGUUGUUCAUUUCCGCCGUACUUUUUUGUCUGCUCUUUUUCAGAAUGGAGAAAUUAAAUCUUCCUGAGAAAUACAAGCAUAAAAUAAUUGAGAUUGAUGAGAUUAUAACUAUUUUUUGUAUUUCUGAUCUUAAUAAAUAAAGAAUUAGCUCAUGUAGCAGUUUUUCUGUGAAGUAUUAUUAAAAUAAGAUUUGAAAAUCAAGCUUUUAUUUUACGGAAAAUUUUCGGCUAAUUUUUUAAUUCAAUUUUCAUGUUAAAAUUAUUACCAUAAAAUAUAUGUAUGCAAAUAUACUAUAUUUAUUAAGAUAUUUAGAUGACAUUAAACGGUAUAGAAAUCAUUACAGUUCUUAUUGACUAUGCAUGUAAAAUAAAAUAACGCAAGAGAUUUAUUUUUUAAUUUCAUAUUAAAAUUAUUACCAUAAGAUGCCUAUCUGCAAAUGUGCUAUAUUUAUUAAGAUAUUUAGAUUAUUAUAGUUAUUAACAGCCUAACAAUCUAGUUAUUAAUCUUAAUAUUAGUUAUUAACUUAAUAUCAAAAUUUAUAAAUAUAUAAAUAGUUUAUACAUCUCUUUUGAAUACUUAUUUCUUGCAUUUUUGUAACACAUAUUUUAGGUAUGGAUUAAAGAACAUGGACAAAGAUCAGAAUCAGUUUGGCGUGUUCAGAGAAAACAGAAAUCAACUGGACGCCUUAAUGUUUAUAAAGGUGAAUUUAGAUGCCAACACAAUGUGCAACAAGUAUUUUUUCACUGCCAAAACACAAAGAACCACUCCCAGAAGUUAUAGAGUUUCCUGCUUUAUAUGAGCCUCUGUAUUCUCAUAAUCAUUUGCUUGAUAGUGUUGCUGUUAAAAAGUUCAGACCAUUAUCAAAUUUAAUGUGAAAGCAUUUGAUAUAGUUGUUUGAAUUAGGACAUAUAGAAGUUACUGCAAGACAGAUGUUGCAAAUGGAAUUAGAGCUUCAGAGUGAUGAAGAUUAUGAAGAAGCAUACAUGGACAGUUCUAAGCUACCCUAAUUAUCUUUCAUAAAUCACUUACUAAAUAAUGAAUUUAGGAAAAUCUAGGGGUCACAAAAAGAAAGCAAUAUCCUCUUACAAUCAACAGCCAUUUUGUAAAGCUGCCUUUUCAAAAGAAAAAGUAGCUUGAUGACUGCUGUAGUGACUCUAAUAAUGAAGCAAAGUAUAGAUUUACUUAGCAAUGUUCAAGAAUUGAUAAUGGUUUAUGCAUCUGGCCAUAUGGACAGAUUAAAUAAUCGUGUUUACUUUUUUUUAUUUCUUCAUGUGUAGCUGGUGGAAUACCUAUUGGGUGCUUCAUCACAAAUGCAGAAGAAACUAAUAUUUUUCGUGAAGGAGUGAAACAUCUUUGUGAGUGUUUCCUUGAGAAAUGUUAUUUAUUGCAAAAUGGGCCACUGAUUGUAAUUACAAGUGAUGAUCUUAAAGAAAGAAGUUCUGAGUGAAAUAUGGCCUAAUUCCACUUACUUACUCUGUAAGUUUCAUGUGCUGAAAGCAUUGUGGUGAUGGCUUAUGAACAGUGAACAUAAAAUUCUAAAAGAGCAUUGUCAAGAACUAUAUUUUUCUUUUAAAGCAUUGAUGUAUGCAGAAACUGAAAUGCAGCUGAAAGAGUUGCUUCAAAAUAUGUUGGAGAGUAGCAUGGUUAGGAAAUAAGACAAAUUCAUCAUAUAUUUGAGUAAGUUGUUCUCCAAAAAGCAAUUAUGGUGCACUUGUCAUAGAAAAAUGCUUUUAACCAGGGGAAACAAUACAACAAACUAUGUUGAAAUUUUGUUUAAAGUUUUAAAAGAGACAGACCAUACUUGGACAAGUGAAAGCAUUUAGCUUAAUUCAAUUAUUAAACUUCAUUGUCACAUCGUCAUUUGAGAAGUAUCUACAUUGUAGAUAUUUAGAUUUUAGUUUUGGGCAUUCUUCCAAAAAACUAGUAAAAAAGUUUUUGCCUGAUGAUAAAGGGACUCAGAACAUCAGAUCACUAAAUAAGUGCAAUACUUAUUUUGAAAUUGAUCACUAUUUUGUUGAUUUGGAAAGUUUCAUUUGUACUUGCUUUGUGGUACGAAUGGAAAGCUAAUGAUUUACUUUCGCAAUUUGAUAAUAAUACACUUCCGCAUUCUUCAAAUGAUACACUUUCACCUUUAGAUAUUGACAAAAUUUCACAGUCUUGCAAUGAUAAUAACAUGGUUCUACCAACUAUUAACACUAUUUCACUACCCAUUGCAACUUCAUAUCAAAACUCGGAUAGUGAAGCAGAUAAUGAUGAUGAUGAUUACUUACAAAAAUUUGAUGAUAUAAAUAAUUGGAUUAAAUCCGGAUACAAAAAUAAUCCUGAUGUUUUUAAGCCAGCAAUAAAAAAAUGGUGAAGAAUGUAAGCAAGUUUGGAGAAACAGAAACUGUAUUGAUGUCUGCCUUGCAUAACUUUGGAAGAAAUCUUAAUUACUCAAGCAGAGUUUUAAAGUGUAGUAGAAGGAGAGGCAAUCAAAUACCUGUCCAACCUACAGCAAAUUGCAAGAACAAAAUCAAUUUAUCGUGGAAGGAAAAGUCAAGUUGGUGGAAGACCAGUUAAGCGAGCAUUACCACCUGCCCUAAAAGAACAUGUAUAUGGAAUUUUCUCUUGAGUUACUUAAAAAACAUCCAAAAAUAAAACAUAGUUUGACACAUUGUGUUGAAAAGAAUGUAUCUCUUCCAAGUUAAUUUAUACAUAUUUUAUUACUUUCAUACUUCAAAAAUAUGUUUGUUAUUUGUAAUUUUUUUUAUGUGUGCUUUAAAAAUGUAUUAGAGCAUUUUAACAAGA